GAAAUAGGGCAGCAGUAACAGCAGAGGCUCCCAGUAAAGUUGAUAACCCUGAUGCUGUCAAUAGCUAGGAUAUGACACCUGUGGAGGCAAUCUAAACUUUUCAACUCUCCCAAUUAGCCAGAGACACCCAAACUGCACGUGUUGAGGUAACCCCCUCCCCUGUUUGGAGAAUAAAUGCAGAGUGUGAGGUGCUUGGAGGCUGGGGAACAGAGGUCUAUGUGAGAACCUCCACCAAGCAGGCUGUGGCCACAGCACUGAAGGGUGCCACACCAACAGGCAGAGUGUGCUUACAAGGCUGGGAAAUUCAUCUGAGAAUCAAACAUGUCAAUCACCAAAUGGCCCCUCUUCAAAACCCAAAGGGCUCCCGGGAACAGGCAGGAUCCAAACCACUGACCCUUAUGUGACAUUCAGAAGCAGCAAUACCUGUCUGUCCAAAGAGCUUCCCUCUGUCUAUAAGAUACA